rnacentral:rRNA from 1 species
AUUGAACGCUGGCGGCAGGCCUAACACAUGCAAGUCGAACGGUAACAGGGAUCAGCUUGCUGAUUCGCUGACGAGUGGCGGACGGGUGAGUAAUGUCUGGGAAACUGCCUGAUGGAGGGGGAUAACUACUGGAAACGGUAGCUAAUACCGCAUAACGUCGCAAGACCAAAGAGGGGGACCUUCGGGCCUCUUGCCAUCGGAUGUGCCCAGAUGGGAUUAGCUAGUAGGUGGGGUAACGGCUCACCUAGGCGACGAUCCCUAGCUGGUCUGAGAGGAUGACCAGCCACACUGGAACUGAGACACGGUCCAGACUCCUACGGGAGGCAGCAGUGGGGAAUAUUGUACAAUGGGCGCAAGCCUGAUGCAGCCAUGCCGCGUGUGUGAAGAAGGCCUUCGGGUUGUAAAGUACUUUCAGCGGGGAGGAAGGGAGUAAAGUUAAUACCUUUGCUCAUUGACGUUACCCGCAGAAGAAGCACCGGCUAACUCCGUG